UUAGUUUUUUCAAAAAGAAUUGUAUUUAUAACACACCCAACAGGAAUCUGGGGUCAUUGUGAUGAGGGACACAAAACUUGUAGCCUUCUUACAAACAAAUUCCUUACAUGU
rfam:Otolemur garnettii contig129275, whole genome shotgun sequence.